AUCAGCAUGGCAUAGUGGUUUUGAGUGUUAGACUACAACUCUGGAGACCAUGGUUUGAUUCCAGCUUGGCCAUG